rnacentral:rRNA from 1 species
GGANUUGGAAUGGGGGAACCCUGAUCCAGCCAUGCCGCGUGAGUGAUGAAGGCCCUAGGGUUGUAAAACUCUUUCGCACGCGACGAUAAUGACGGUAGCGUGAGAAGAAGCUCCGGCUAACUUCGUGCCAGCAGCCGCGGUAAUACGAAGGGGGCUAGCGUUGUUCGGAAUUACUGGGCGUAAAGCGCGCGCAGGCGGUCCUUCAAGUCAGAGGUGAAAGCCCAGGGCUCAACCCUGGAACUGCCUUUGAGACUAGAGGACUUGGGUACGGGAGAGGUGAGUGGAAUUCCGAGUGUAGAGGUGAAAUUCGUAGAUAUUCGGAAGAACACCAGUGGCGAAGGCGGCUCACUGGCCCGUUACCGACGCUCAGGCGCGACAGCGUGGGGAGCAAACAGGAUUAGAUACCCUGGUAGUCCACGCCGUAAACGAUGGAUGCUAGCCGUUGGUAAGCUUGCUUAUCAGUGGCGCAGCUAACGCAUUAAGCAUCCCGCCUGGGGAGUACGGCCGCAAGGUUGAAACUCAAAAAAAUUGACGGA